GAGGCCCAACUAAAAAGAAAAGACCCAACACUUAAUUAAACUCAACCCCAAAUUUAAAAUAGAAAAAUCCCUAGAUUUCUUUUCUCUCUCUCUUCGCCUCAUUCUCACCGCCGCUCGUCGCCAUUCGCCGCUCUCAUCCCCGGCGAAAUUUCGGAGCUCCGUCGGUGGGAACUCCCUUCUCCAACGUGUCUCUCUCUCCGUCGAGUUCGGAGAAGUCCUCGGCUGCCCGACGAGCAGGGCUGCCGCCUGCUGCGUCGCUCGGCGCCGGUCCAGCCAUCUCCGCCUUUCCUCUCUUCUCCGGCGAUUCGCCGUUGCCGUCUUCACCUCUGGAGCUUGGGCUCGCCAUGGAGUCCCCGCAGCUGCCCUCCCGUUGCCGUCGCCGACGCUGCUCAGUCUGCUUCUCAGACCAGCGCCGACGCUGCCGCCUCGCAGCCUUCCGUCGUCGUCCAGAUCGGGCAGCCCAAGCACAAUUUUAAAAGCUAAGUUCUUCCACCCCUUUCAUUUCUUAGUAUUUUGUUUUAAAAAACUUAGGCAGUAGCUAUGUGUGAUUAAAGACUUUGAUUUUGGAGCUCAACUCACUGGAAAGGGCUUGCUGCCAUUUUUGCUACACCAAGUCUUGCUCCUAUGAUUUAGAUAACUUGGUUUUACUGAUAUGAGGUUUAUUCCACUUGACUAAGCACUGUUAUCAGCUAUUUAUGCUUACUCCAUUCUUUGCUACUGCUGAAAUUUCCCAUAGCUACGAUUCUAUAUUUUUGUGUUGGUACUUUUGUGGGUUUGCUACUGAAGUUGAGCAUUAAGGCAGCCUAUUGUACUCUUAUUCCAUUUGUUAAAGCUCUAAGAAAGCUACUGUUGAGACUUCUAUGUUGAGGUGUUUCUACAUGAUGCUUGAGAAAAGAUUGGGAAUGGAGGAAAAUACCUCUUGAGCUGGUUGCUGCUUGAGAUCAGCUCCUAAGGCACCAAGCUUUCUAACUCUCUCUAAAUUUUUGCUGAUUAUUUUGAGAUGUGUGGGAGGGAGUUCGAAUGUGGUAUGAAGGGGAUCUUUAUAGGAGAACUUGGGGUACUUUGCUGCAUUAAAAGGGCUGACUCCUCAUUUGUUUUCACUCCCAGCAUAUCUCUCUGUUUUGAUCUUCAACACACCCUUUUACUUAAGAGGCUUGGUGUUAUUUACAGUACGUGUUUGACCCAUUAAACAUUCUUGUCCUCACAUGGCCUCAUGGUACUUGGUUAAUAACUCAUUUGUUUGUAAGCUGCAGGAGCAUGUAGGGUGCACCUAGGGGGAUUUAAAUGGCUGCCCAGCCUCUUUGUUUUCAUGCUGCAGAAAAUCUCUUACUUUCUUGAUCUCCACUUCUUUUGAUUAAUGAAACUUGGUGUUUAGCUUAGGACAAUAGGACUUCUCAUUUACUUAUUUUGGUUGAUUGUGUGACUAGGAAAGGCUACUUCGCAGGGGCUGUUUUGGAGGAGCAAGAUGGCAGAUUUGACUUGCUAUCUUUGGUGAGGGAGAAGCUUGGCUGCCACGUUGCUGUCCAGAAAUGGGCUUGCUGCCCUGGCCCCGACGGGCUGAGAUUUGGGCUUGGGAAAAAGAAGAGGCCCAAAAUGCAAGCAAUAGCAAUAUAGUUUCUUAAGCUCUAGGCCCAUACUUGUGUAUUUUGUAAUAGCAUCCAUAAUUCCUUUUUCUUAAACUCAUAAACCCACAUACAUUUAAUUAUGCAAGUGAAAAUGUAGUUUGGGAUGUA